GUCCGCGGUGCCCCUGGGACUGCCAAUGGACUUGUUAAAUGGGAUGAAAGUGUCUGGAGGGAGUGUGAUGGGAGGAAACAUCCGAGCGUCGCUUUGCAUCCUUUGCAGAAGAGGAUUUCUGCUGGCGGGUUGCUGCGGCCUGGCUGAGCUCUGAAACUGAAAGUCACUGCUGUGAUUAAGGAACCCUUCUGAAGCCAUCAGAG
rnacentral:lncRNA from 1 species